UGGGGAAUUUUGCACAAUGGGGGAAACCCUGAUGCAGCGACGCCGCGUGAUUUAGAAGGCCUUCGGGUUGUAAAAAUCUUUUCUAUGGGAAGAAAAUGACAGUACCAUAGGAAUACGGACCGGCUAAUUACGUGCCAGCAGCCGCGGUAAUACGUAAGGUCCGAGCGUUGUCCGGAAUCAUUGGGCGUAAAGGGUACGUAGGCGGGUAAGCAAGUUAGAAGUGAAAUCCUAUAGCUCAACUAUAGUAAGCUUUUAAAACUGCUCAUCUUGAGGUAUGGAAGGGAAAGUGGAAGUACUAGUGUAGCGGUGAAAUGCGCAGAGAUUAGGAGGAAUACCGGUGGCGAAGGCGACUUUCUGGCCAUAACCUGACGAUGAGGUACGAAAGCGUGGGUAGCAAACAGG
rnacentral:rRNA from 1 species